AUGAUAAUUCCAAAGGUUAAUUUUUUGUGCUGGAAUGUGAGAGGACUAAAUGACCCGGACAGACGUGCGACUGUGCACGAGACGAUUGCCUCCACCUCAUGCCACAUUGUCUGCCUUCAGGAGACCAAGAUGGAAAACAUAGAUCAGUACGUCGCCUCCUAUCUUGGCGGUAAUAGACUACGGAGCUAUGCUCAACGUCCAGCCACUAGAUCCAGAGGAGGCCUCCUCAUGAUGUGGGAUGACAGUGUCGUUCGCAUUUCCGAUGUCCACAUCACUGAGUUCUGCCUUUCCGCAAUGGUCAACGUCAUUCAUUCCGAUACCCCUUUCAAGAUCACUAGUGUCUAUGGUCCAAUGGCCUCCAACAGAAAGGAUGACUUCUUCAGUGAAUUGAUCGCUCAAAAACCCAUCAAUGGCACUAAAUGGAUUGUCAUGGGCGACUUCAACCAGAUUUACCGAGCUCGAGAUAAAAAUAAUAGGAACAUCAAUCGCAGCCGCCUCAACCGCUUCCGUGCUACGCUAGACUCUUGUGAACUAAAAGAGAUCCACCUCCAGAACAGACGCUUCACCUAG
rnacentral:rRNA from 1 species